rnacentral:rRNA from 1 species
AUUGAACGCUGGCGGUAUGCUUAACACAUGCAAGUCGAACGGUAACAGAAGGAGCUUGCUCCUUGCUGACGAGUGGCGAACGGGUGAGUAACGCGUAGGGAUCUACCUUGUAGAGGGGGACAACUCGGGGAAACUCGGGCUAAUACCGCAUAAUCUCUGAGGAGCAAAGGGUGGGACCUUCGGGCCAUCCGCUGCAAGAUGACCCUGCGUCAGAUUAGCUAGUUGGUAGGGUAAAGGCCUACCAAGGCGAGGAUCUGUAGCUGGUUUGAGAGGAUGAUCAGCCACACUGGGACUGAGACACGGCCCAG